rnacentral:rRNA from 1 species
ACAGGGAGACAGGUGGUGCAUGGUUGUCGUCAGCUCGUGUCGUGAGAUGUUGGGUUAAGUCCCGCAACGAGCGCAACCCCUACGUUUAGUUGCUAACGCGUGAAGGCGAGCACUCUAGACGAACUGCCGUUGACAAAACGGAGGAAGGUGGGGAUGACGUCAAAUCAUCAUGCCCCUUAUGUUCUGGGCUACACACGUGCUACAAUGGCCGGUACAGACGGACGCAAAGCCGCGAGGUGGAGCAAAUCCUAAAAAGCCGGUCUCAGUUCGGAUUGCAGGCUGCAAUUCGCCUGCAUGAAGUCGGAAUCGCUAGUAAUCGCAGGUCAGCAUACUGCGGUGAGUACGUUCCCGGGCCUU